rnacentral:rRNA from 1 species
UACGUAGGGUGCAAGCGUUAAUCGGAAUUACUGGGCGUAAAGCGUGCGCAGGCGGUUCGGAAAGAAAGAUGUGAAACCCCAGAGCUUAACUUUGGAACUGCAUUUUUAACUACCGAGCUAGAGUGUGUCAGAGGGAGGUGGAAUUCCGCGUGUAGCAGUGAAAUGCGUAGAUAUGCGGAGGAACACCGAUGGCGAAGGCAGCCUCCUGGGAUAACACUGACGCUCAUGCACGAAAGCGUGGGGAGCAAACAGGAUUAGAUACCCUGGUAGUCCACGCCCUAAACGAUGUCAACUAGCUGUUGGGGCCUUCGGGCCUUGGUAGCGCAGCUAACGCGUGAAGUUGACCGCCUGGGGAGUACGGUCGCAAGAUUAAAACUCAAA